AGAGCGAACGCUGGCGGCAGGCCUAACACAUGCAAGUCGAGCGCCCGUAGCAAUACGGGAGCGGCAGACGGGAUAGUAACGCGUGGGAACGUACCUUUUGGUUCGGAACAACACAGGGAAACUUGUGCUAAUACCGGAUAAGCCCUUACGGGGAAAGAUUUAUCGCCGAAAGAUCGGCCCGCGUCUGAUUAGCUAGUUGGUGAGGUAACGGCUCACCAAGGCGACGAUCAGUAGCUGGUCUGAGAGGAUGAUCAGCCACAUUGGGACUGAGACACGGCCCAAACUCCUACGGGAGGCAGCAGUGGGGAAUAUUGGACAAUGGGCGCAAGCCUGAUCCAGCCAUGCCGCGUGAGUGAUGAAGGCCCUAGGGUUGUAAAGCUCUUUUGUGCGGGAAGAUAAUGACGGUACCGCAAGAAUAAGCCCGGCUAACUUCGUGCCAGCAGCCGC
rnacentral:rRNA from 1 species